AGAAUCAACGCUGGCGGCGUGCCUAACACAUGCAAGUCGCACGAGAAAGGGGAGCAAUCCCUGAGUACAGUGGCGCACGGGUGAGUAACACGUGAAUCAUCUACCUCCGAGUGGGGAAUAACUGAGAGAAAUCUUAGCUAAUACCGCAUAAUACCCACGGGUCAAAGCAGUAAUGCGCUUGGAGAGGAGUUCGCGGCAGAUUAGUUAGUUGGCGGGUAAUGGCCCACCAAGACGAUGAUCUGUA
rnacentral:rRNA from 1 species